GGGGAUGUAGCUUAAUGGUAAAGCCUCAGUUUUCCAAACUGAUGACGCGGGUUCGAUUCCCGUCAUCCCCU
rnacentral:tRNA from 1 species